GUUUUCAGUAGUUUAUUCACAUUUUUUUUCUCUGUUUAUUUUAAUAUGCACCACGUGUAAGUUAGAUGAGGGCUACGGUAAAAACAUUUUCGAUGACUGAAAUCUUACUUUUCCUUCUAAUGAUCUGGAGCAAAUCACAUAUUCAUUGAUCAUGACGAAUAAAAUGAUUUCUGCUACAAUGUUGAGAAAAAAUGUGUUCAUUAAUAUGAACACAUGUCUACAGAGAUGAUUUACACGAUGCAAGUAAUGAAAGAGUUCUUCCUUAGCUAGUCUACUAUCAAACUGAAAAGAUGAAUCUUAAAAUUCCCUUGAAAAUACCAUAUGGUUGGUCAUGUGUCAGUAAAAGAAAGAUGGUCCCCAUCACCAGGCCACCACCAUAAGAGAGCUAUAUUAAAUACUUGGGAAAAAAUAUGGAAACACUUGUGGUGAUGAUUAAAUUGAUAAUUACAUAGAUACACUGCCAUAAUGAUACAUAUUUGUUCUAUGAUAAGUGAAAUCAAAAAUAAGAUCAAUUUGGUUAUAGAAAUUCCUUAAAGAACACCACCACUUAAUUAUUUCAAACUUGAACUAUCCCAAGAAUGUCGAGAAAAAAAUUAGAAAGCACUGGCUAAAAGCAAAGCAAUCUGGAUACACCAAUGUAGUCAGCAUGCCUUGUGCUUGUCUGUUAACCCUCUGAGUACAUCUCUGACAUUCAGGAUCUUGGUAGCUUAAUGUUAGAAAGAUUGCAUUCCAUCUGAUUACUCAAGAUUUCUACUUGACUGGUCACAUUCCACUCUUUAUUCAGCAUAGAUCACUCAAAUUCUACAGUGAUGUGCUGGGAUCCCCAUGCUGAAUGGGCCUUGCAUUCUUCUGAGCUGCCCUUCUGCAGUGUGCUGAGAAACACUCCCUAGCUUCACACAGUCCAGAGUCCCCCUAGACGUUGAUGGGAAAAGGCCUGAGCCAUGCACUGCAGGCUCAGUACACUAGAUGCUGUAGCAAUAUAGUUAAUGCCCACAGAAAAAGCAGUAAUUCAGAGAAAGAAAGGAAAAUGACAGUCCACUGCAGGUAGGUCUCUGCCCAUUGCAUUCUUCAUACUUUUAGAGUUGAGGCCAGGCUGUAGAGCUACUCCGUAGCCUUGGAAUAGUGCUUUGCUUUAUAUUUCUAGAGAAAGCAACAAUUUCCAACUAAUUCAGUGUUCCUCAUUAAUAUGGAAUCUACCUACACACCAACACUCUUUCUGGUGUUCUCUGCCCCCCACCCCCACCUCCCCCCAAAAAACAACUCAACUAAUUUACUAAUUUAUGCUACUUUGUGAUUUUGUGUGUUAUCGCUUCUGGAUGCUCCAAAAGGGGGGAAAAAAAACCUCAAUAAAUAAUAUGCUGUUUACAUGUCAGGACAACACAGACCACAGAGAUGAACCUAAAUGUAAAGGAGAAAAAAUUUUGGAGAUGGUGUUGCAAAAGUAAUGACAUGUGAUUUAAAAAUCCAUAUUAAUAUAGACCAUAGUUUCAGGGUUGAAGAGUAAAAAUGCAGCAAGUGAAGAUCAACAUGCAUUUGAAAAUAAAGGACUAUAGAAACGUUGUUCACAAAUUUUAAGACUCUCAGGUAUUAAAAUAUAUUCAAACAGAGAACAUAGGUACUGUUCAGCCACCAGAUGCAAACAUCAUGAGGUAUCCCUCCCUAGUUGUCUCAUGGAUCCCAGAGCCCAGCAAACCUUGGGAGCACAUUUGAGCUGGGCACCUGCCUCUAAGACACGCCAGGAGAAUCCUCUCUCAGCACUGCGGUGAUGCACAGAACCUGCGAAUUCCCAUUCUAAAAUGGAAUCUGUUCCAGAAGAAACUCAGGCCUGGAGACUCUGCACCAGGGAGAUCGAUUUGGUGACAGGAGUGAAAAUACAGGUCUCAGACAGGACUUGGCCCAAAGACAGAAAAAACACUAUGACCUCCUGGACAGCUAAAGACAGUGGUAUAAAAAAAAAUCAUUUUAGGAGAUGGAGGUUUUAUCCUCAGGGAUAUCAUCUAGGUCUUUCAUCCUGAUCUUCCUGGGAGACUAUAUAGGUAACCUAAAGGUGCACAUGGAAUUGUCUUGCCAGUGGUUUAUUCACUGAAAACUUAUCGUUAGAACAUUCUGGAUUGUGUUCCCAGUGUGCUUUCUCCUCAGCCAUCUUGCAAAGCACCUGCCUCCAGGCCCCUUGUGCCCCAGCUCUCCUAUGUGUGGAUUUCAUACUAGAUGUAGAUUGCACAGUGAUGACCACAGUGCGUGGAAGCAGGUGAGAAAAAGCACAGGAUGUUAUUCCCUCUUACUGUUUGAAAUUCCAGCCCUGCAGAGCACCGGGCAAUUUAUUGCUC
ensembl:lncRNA